rnacentral:rRNA from 1 species
ACUCCUACGGGAGGCAGCAGUGGGGAAUAUUGCACAAUGGGCGCAAGCCUGAUGCAGCCAUGCCGCGUGUAUGAAGAAGGCCUUCGGGUUGUAAAGUACUUUCAGCAGUGAGGAAGGUGGAUAUGUUAAUAGCAUAUUCAUUUGACGUUAGCUGCAGAAGAAGCACCGGCUAACUCCGUGCCAGCAGCCGCGGUAAUACGGAGGGUGCGAGCGUUAAUCGGAAUUACUGGGCGUAAAGCGCAUGCAGGUGGUUUGUUAAGUCAGAUGUGAAAGCCCGGGGGCUCAACCUCGGAAUUGCAUUUGAAACUGGCAAACUAGAGUACUGUAGAGGGGGGUAGAAUUUCAGGUGUAGCGGUGAAAUGCGUAGAGAUCUGAAGGAAUACCGGUGGCGAAGGCGGCCCCCUGGACAGAUACUGACACUCAGAUGCGAAAGCGUGGGGAGCAAACAGGAUUAGAUACCCUGAUAGGCGUAG